AACGAACGCUGGCGGCGCGUCUUAAGCAUGCAAGUCGAACGGCAAGAGAGGAGCUUGCUUCUCUCCUAGAGUGGCGGACUGGUGAGGAACACGUGGGUAAUCUACCCUUAAGAUGGGGAUAGCUGCUAGAAAUAGCAGGUAAUACCGAAUACACUCGGCAUAUCACAAGAGGUGUUGAGGAAAGGAAGCUACGGCUUCGCUUGAGGAUGAGCUUGCGUCCCAUUAGCUAGUUGGUGAGGUAAAGGCCCACCAAGGCGACGAUGGGUAUCCGGCCUGAGAGGGUGAACGGACACAUUGGGACUGAGAUACGGCCCAAACUCCUACGGGAGGCAGCAGCUAAGAAUAUUCCGCAAUGGACGGAAGUCUGACGGAGCGACGCCGUGUGGAUGAAGAAGGCUGAAAAGUUGUAAAAUCCUUUUGUUGAUGAAGAAUAAGGGUGAGAGGGAAUGCUCAUCUGAUGACGGUAAUCGACGAAUAAGCCCCGGCUAAUUACGUG
rnacentral:rRNA from 1 species